UCAAAGAGGGAAGCCAGGCAUCUCCCUAACAGCACGGCUGAGUCAUCUUCACUGCUACUUAAGAAUGAGUAGCAGGCUUGGAAUGCAGGACCAGCCCAGCCAGCUCAGCCCACACAGAGCAGGACUCCAGAGGGACCACCUCUUCUCCAGCUCUUGCCCUGCAGCACAUCCCAGACAAAGCUGGGCCCUGCCCAUUUGCCCUGUUUCUCUGCAAAGCCAGGAAGACUUCAGUUGCUGCGGACCUGUGACUAGUCUACAGAAUUAUCUCAGAAGAAAUGACUACACAAAAAUGAGAUGGCUGUGGGGCUUUUACUCUAGAGUCGCAGUGGCACGUGGACUUGCAGAUGUCACAAGGCACUGUUUGCAGAACUGUUUCCAGUGUCUUUUGGAAACUAAGACACCAGCUAUCAGGCUCCAGCCCCCACUUCCUCCAUCCACGUGAAUCAGAAGUCAGUAGGUUCCCUUUCCCUUUCCGUCAUGCUGCACUGGAGAAGGCUGACCAGUUUGCACCCCGCCACACCCACUGCGUUCAUUCAGCAGUCUGAGUAGGUCAGAUUCUUGAGGGAGACACAAAUGGAUCCUGGAGUUUAACAGUGGAAAUAAAAGCAUCAGAGGGUUCAGAGGAGGAAGAUGGUAGUCCUAGGCAAGGUGUUCUGAAGGGGAAGAAGAAGGAAUUUAAACUGUAGUUAGAAGGACUGGCAGGCUGAGUGGAGGAGGCAUGCAGGCUCAGUGCAAGGGAAGUGACGUGGGAAUAGGCAGAGAUGCUGACCCUCCGAGUAGCAGAAGAAGGCUGGCACUGGGAAGACACCCAGAAAAGGCUGGCACUGGGAAGACACCCAGUCCAGGCCAACGCCUUGGCUGUGCGUACUCUGUGCUGGAAAGUUCCAUCUCAGUUUUGCUUGCUUGUUUAGAGAUGGGUGAGGAGUGGCGGCAAUGGUGUGUUACUAUGUAGCCCACACUGGCCUUGUCCCUCCUGCCCCUCUACCUUCUGGGUCCUGGGAUUGCAGGUGUGGGAAAUCUCUUCAGUGGCCCAUCAGGACGAGGCCACUCUGUGGAGUGACCCGCUCCCCUGGUGGAAAGGGUAGAAGGACCCCUGACAGCAGAAUGUGCAAGUGAGGACAUGGGAAGGAUUCAACAUGGCCCAGCGGCUCAUAUUCAUAGAGGAGGGAGUUGAACAGAGGCAGGGUCCUGGACAGUCCUGGCUUGGGGGUCUUUUUGGUACCCUGGGGGCAGAUAACAGGGAAGUGGGAACAAGGGAAGGAUGGGAUUCUCAUGACUUUCAGAAAUAUUCACCAGUCAGGCACAGGGGCAGUGGUGUGAUGUGGACACUGAGGCAGUGGUGUGAAGAGGACACUGGGGCAGUGGUGUGAAGAGGACACUGGGGCAGUGGUGUGAAGUGGACACUGGGGCAGUGGUGUGAUGUGGGCACUGGGGCAGUGGGCAGUGGUGUGAAGAGGACACUGGGGCAGUGGUGUGAAGUGAACACUGGGGCAGUGGUGUGAAGUGGACACUGGGGCCGUGGUGUGAAGAGGACACUGGGGCAGUGGUGUGAUGUGGGCACUGGGGCAGUGGUGUGAAGUGGACACUGGGGCAGUGGGCAGUGGUGUGAUGUGGGCACAGGGCAGUGGUGAUGGCACAGUAGGAUGUUCUUGAAACACCCUUGGGGAAAGGUGAUCAGAAGGAUGGGACAAAAGGCCAAGUGGAAGCAGCACUUUUGUGACAGAGCUAGUGGGACUGGUGUGAAGACAGAGUCACCAUUUCGUUUGGUCAUUUGUCAGAGGCAAUGGUGUGGCUUACGCAUCAUGUCCACCCUCUGGACUUCUUCUGCUCUUCUCAGCCUGCUGGACAUGCAGCCCUGUCCUGUGCGAUCGUCUCACCAGCAAGAACGACACAGGACACUCGGAUCCUUCUGCAGUCAAGCUUUAAUGCAUCUUGAGAGGGAGAGCAAAAGCUUACAGAGCGGGAACCCCGAACUCCCAAAAACCCAUCCC